rnacentral:rRNA from 1 species
CCCUUAGAUGUCCUGGGCCGCGCGCGUGCUACACUGACACUUGCAGCGAGUCUUCGUUCUCCGAGAGGCAGAGCGUAACCAGCAAUAAGUGUCGUGAUGGGGAUAGACCCUUGGAAUUAUGGAUCUUGAACGAGGAAUGCCUAGUAAGCGCACGUCAUUAGCGUGCGCUGAUUAAGUCCCUGCCCUUUGUACACACCGCCCGUCGCUCCUACCGAUUUCGAGUGGUCCGGUGAGGCUUUUGGAGAGUGAGGUCCUUGAGAUUCUUGCUCGAAGUCAGCCAAAUCGUAACACUUAGAGGAAGGAUAANUCGUAACA